GGCUAGGUUGGGUAGUGGUCUGGGACAGGGCUAGGUUGGGUAAUGGUCUGGGACAGGGCUAGGUUGGGUAGUGGUCUGGGACAGGGCUAGGUUGGGUAGUGGUCUGGGACAGGGCUAGGUUGGGUAGUGGUCAGGAAGGGCUAGGUUGGGUAGUGGUCUGGGACAGGGCUAGGUUGGGUAGUGGUCUGGGACAGGGCUAGGUUGGGUAGUGGUCUGGGACAGGGUAGAGGGUAAUAUUACUACAGUUGAGUGCAGGCUUGUGUGUGUGUGGGGGGGGCUGUCAGGUUAGCCAGUGAUGGAUGGUCACUGAUGGUGGAAGGAGUACAAAGAUGCCUGUGUGGGUCUCAGUAAGAGGGGGCACCAGUGUGUUAGAGUCACUCAUAACCCCCCUCCCCCAAAUCUGUCCUACACAUACACACUCAC
ensembl:lncRNA